rnacentral:lncRNA from 1 species
ACUAGUUAGACAACAUGUCUGUAAUGAGCUUUUUUUUUAAUGCUUCUUCAUACUCAGAUAAUGAUUCUUUUUUUUUUGCGAUAAGGCUGUCAAUUAGUCCCAUCUUCUGAAGUCUUUCUUUCAUCGCCAUGUCCUUCUCUUUAAUCAACCACAUGCUCUGAAACUCUGACAAAGCCUUGCCAUCCAUCGAAGCCCUCUUACCUCUACUUUUUGCUGCCUUAACACCAGGUGGCCGGUUGCUUCCUUGGUCAUCUUCGACAGUGUUCCUUUCCUCUGCGUGAGAAAAUGAUGAAUGUGGACCAUCCUCACACCUUCUCCUUUUAAACAUUCCUUCAGUUUUAUUUGUAGAUAGCUCAUUCCACUUCUGGUCAUUGCGAAGCUCCUUCCAAGCAUGGUCAAGGGUAAAUUUUUUCUUGGUCGUUGUAGAAGAUUUCAUGUGCGAGUUUCAGGACAUUAUUGUCAUUCUGUCCAGAAGCUUUCUCUCUUGUUCCUGCCUCGUAAGAUCCACAAAACUUGCACAUCAAAUUAUUAAUUUUUUGCCACCGUUGCUUACAGUUGCUUGCUUCUCUUCUUUCUCGUUCUGCAGCUUUGGGACUAGUGGAAAAGUAUGCUGCUAUCUGUUUUCAGAAAGCACCAGACUUUUGCUUAUUGCCAACCACCGGGUCUUUGCUAGUGUUUAGCCAUGCGCUGAUGAGCAAGACAUUAUCUGUAAGGGUCCACUUCCUCUUUUCUCUACGCUCUGCAGUAGUGUCUUCAUUGUAGCUUGAAGCUUCUGUGCAUUGACUGCUAAAGAGAGGGAUUUAGUCGAGAGAAGGAAAGGGAUCAUGAAGGGUAUGUUCUUGUUGACUGUUUAACAGGUCAACAAAGUUGGAGGAUUGAGUAUAUGGAUUCGAAGAAGAGAAAUCUAUGGAGAAAGAAAAGAAGUGAUUGUGUUUAUAAGAAAAGAAAGAGAACAAGCACAAUAAAAAAAAAGAACAAUGUGGUUGAUAGGUGAUGAAAAGAGAGAGAACAAGCACUAGUGUUUAUAGUAGAAAACAUAGGAAGAGAAAAAGCAAUUAAAUAAGCUUUGAAGCAUUCAUAACCCAUUAAUCACAUCGAGUAGACAUAUAUCUAACAAGUAGAUAUAGAAAUAAUCUUCUAUCUAACCAUCAAUGACCUAUCUAAUAAAUCCAUUUCUUACCUAAUAAACCCUAAACACACCUCACAGCUUAACCAUAAAUGACAUAUGCAUUUAUGUCCAUCGAAAAGAUGUGAAAACAUACCUC